AGGGUAAUAGUUAAAAAUAACAUUUAAUUUGCAAUUAAAAAUUAUUGAAAUAUCAAUUUACCUUA
rnacentral:tRNA from 1 species